GCGAGUUGAGUCCGUGAGUCGAGUCGAGUCGAGUCGAGACGCCUGUCGUUGCCGUUAACGCCGAGCGGAUGAAAAUUUGUACACAGCGAGGCAUAGAUACAUUUUCCACCAUUUUUGUGUUAACGCUAAGAAAAAAACUUGAGCUAAUAGAGACUAUAAAUAACUAGCAAAUAUGUCCCCUAGCCCCCCAGACGAUAGACGCAACCGUGUUGGCAAUUUAACGUACAAUGCCAAAAGUUAAAGCGAAAGGCGACGCCACCAAACGACACAAAUAAAAUGAGGCAAGUGGCCUGCAACUACAACACCAACGGCAAGCAUCGAGACAAGCAGGUUGCAGGCACUCCAGAGCAGAGCAGAACAACCACAGGAGGAGGAGCAAUAGCAGGAGCCACAGCCAGGAUAUCGAACGAGCGAUAAGAUGGAGCGUCCGCUUGGAUGACGACGAACUCAGAGACCCAAAGAAGCUGGCAACGAAAUCAGGCACGAAACUGCUGCUGGAAACUGAUGCCAAAUUAGUGGCAGCAUCCAAAAAUAGCAUCCGCAUAGGGGCAACAAAUAACGAAAAGAAACGAAAUAGAAUCGGAAUCGGAAACGGAAACAUGAACAGUGCGGAUAUUUUGUAAUUAUUAAUGAGCGCAUAGAGAGAGCGAGAGUGAGGGUCUGCUGCCGGAGGAGGAGUGCUGGAGGAGCGGAGGAACCACAAGCGGCGAAACCGAGCGAUAUACGUUGAGGGAUAACACAGCAUGUACAUUCUGCUGGAGCUCAACUAACCCAGAGACACACACCACACACACCACACACACA